AGAGUUUGAUCCUGGCUCAGGACGAACGCUGGCGGCGUGCCUAAUACAUGCAAGUGGAACGCAUUUAUAACUACCGUAGCUUGCUACAAUUGGUAUAAAUGAGUCGCGAACGGGUGAGUAACGCGUAGGUAACCUACCUUUAAGCGGGGGAUAACUAUUGGAAACGAUAGCUAAUACCGCAUAAAAGGAGCUAACCCAUGUUAGCUUUUUAAAAGGUGCAACAGCAUCACUUAAAGAUGGACCUGCGUUGUAUUAGCUAGUUGGUAAGGUAACGGCUUACCAAGGCUUCGAUACAUAGCCGACCUGAGAGGGUGAUCGGCCACACUGGGACUGAGACACGGCCCAGACUCCUACGGGAGGCAGCAGUAGGGAAUCUUCGGCAAUGGGGGGAACCCUGACCGAGCAACGCCGCGUGAGUGAAGAAGGUUUUCGGAUCGUAAAGCUCUGUUAUAAGCGAAGAAUAGGAGUAAGAGUGGAAAGUUUACUCUAUGACGGUAGCUUAUCAGAAAGGGACGGCUAACUACGUGCCAGCAGCCGCGGUAAUACGUAGGUCCCGAGCGUUGUCCGGAUUUAUUGGGCGUAAAGCGAGCGCAGGUGGUUUAAUAAGUCUGAAGUUAAAGGCAGUGGCUCAACCAUUGUACGCUUUGGAAACUGUUAAACUUGAGUGCAGAAGGGGAGAGUGGAAUUCCAUGUGUAGCGGUGAAAUGCGUAGAUAUAUGGAGGAACACCGGUGGCGAAAGCGGCUCUCUGGUCUGUAACUGACACUGAGGCUCGAAAGCGUGGGUAGCGAACAGGAUUAGAUACCCUGGUAGUCCACGCCGUAAACGAUGAGUGCUAGGUGUUGGGUCCUUUCCGGGACUCAGUGCCGCAGCUAACGCAUUAAGCACUCCGCCUGGGGAGUACGACCGCAAGGUUGAAACUCAAAGGAAUUGACGGGGGCCCGCACAAGCGGUGGAGCAUGUGGUUUAAUUCGAAGCAACGCGAAGAACCUUACCAGGUCUUGACAUCCCGGUGCCGGUUCUAGAGAUAGAACUUUUCUUAGGAACACUGGAGACAGGUGGUGCAUGGUUGUCGUCAGCUCGUGUCGUGAGAUGUUGGGUUAAGUCCCGCAACGAGCGCAACCCCUAUUGUUAGUUGCCAUCAUUAAGUUGGGCACUCUAGCGAGACUGCCGGUAAUAAACCGGAGGAAGGUGGGGAUGACGUCAAAUCAUCAUGCCCCUUAUGACCUGGGCUACACACGUGCUACAAUGGUCGGUACAACGAGUUGCGAGCUGGUGACAGUAAGCUAAUCUCUUAAAGCCGAUCUCAGUUCGGAUUGUAGGCUGCAACUCGCCUACAUGAAGUCGGAAUCGCUAGUAAUCGCGGAUCAGCACGCCGCGGUGAAUACGUUCCCGGGCCUUGUACACACCGCCCGUCACACCACGAGAGUUUGUAACACCCGAAGUCGGUGAGGUAACCUUUUAGGAGCCAGCCGCCUAAGGUGGGAUAGAUGAUUGGGGUGAAGUCGUAACAAGGUAGCCGUAUCGGAAGGUGCGGCUG
rnacentral:rRNA from 1 species